UGGGCUACCAGCCAGCCCUGGCCCUGUGGACUCCGAGCCAGACUGAAGCCCCUGUGGUGGACGAGUGGUGCCGGAGCUGAGCUCCCAGUUUGUGGGGCCAUUCAUUGACCCGGAAGGGUAAAUGAGCUAAGUUCCCUCCUCUUCCCUGAUCAAGAGGUGAUGACCCCUCCACUCCUCUACCAUUGUCAACUGUCUCCUGACAUAAACUGAAGCCAUGUCACAUGUGCCCGUUCAUCAACUGGCACACUGAAUGUUUCCUCUCCAAGUACUUUAAAUCCUGUCCUGCCCUCAGUGGAAGAUUUGAGCUCUUCUCCAACACCAUCCAUCCAUGAUGAACCUGUCCUGUACUGAAGACUAUGAACACCUCAACCACUGUCCUGCACUGAGGUCAAGCCUCUGAACACCCCAACUCAUGCCUCAUACCCUCAUUCAAUCACUGCUGUGAUCCAUUCCCAACACUCUCCAGAUCACAAAACCUACACAGUCCAAGUGUUGCAGGUCUGCCAACUUCCUUCUGGUCACAUUGUAUUCAGAGAAAUAUCCAAUAAACCAAAGACCGCUUUAACUGCGAAUGUACUUUAUUGCAGAUAUUUUCCUCAAAUAAAAUGGAGCAUACAUAAAAUAAACAAGGUAUUAUAAUUUAUUUACACUGGGUGUAUGUGAGAGGGAAAGCACACAUUAAGCCAUAGUCUUUUACAAUAUUAUCAAUCACACUUUGAUUUCAUAGAUAUUGAGAAUGGAUAUGAAGGUGUAGAUAUCUCCAAUCCUAAAAUAAAAUGUUGCGAUCAUUAAAUAAACAAGUCUUUACAACUUA